ACUCCGAGCAGAAGCAUCCUAACCAGAAAUAAAAAACUCGGCUACUCUUCCACUGCCCAAAUCGUGAGAUUAACUGGACCAAGCACCGAUUAGUGUUCUAGGACGAGAACCAUCAUCAAAAACAAGCCCAGACGUUCCGGAAUUCGACGCCGUGCACGGCAACGCCAACGAGGCCGAAGGCACCCAAAACAUCAGUCCAUCAAACCCAACCAAAAUCGAAAACUAAUUAUACACAGAUGCAGAAAUCAUCGAGAGGAUUUCGUUUCGUACCUCAGACAACCCAGACGGUGACCGGAGUCGCCGGAAGUCAGAAAUUGCCGGAAGAGCUUCGCACCUUCUGAGCUUCGAAUCUCCCUUCACGAACCGUGCAUGGAUGAUCCAUCACCACAGGCACGUGGGCGAUGAAGAGACGAGAAGAGUGUUGGUGGUCCGGCGUGGAGAGGUGGCCGGACGGAGGAGUUUUGUCCGGGUUGUGGCUUCGGGUCGAGAGGUCUGAUCGU
rnacentral:lncRNA from 1 species